rnacentral:rRNA from 1 species
CGUGUAGGCGGCUUGGUAAGUCGGGUGUGAAAGCCCGGGGCCUAACCCCGGAACUGCACUCGAAACUGCCUCGCUCGAGUCCCGGAGAGGAUGGUGGAAUUCCCGGUGUAGUGGUGAAAUACGUAGAUAUCGGGAGGAACACCAGCGGCGAAGGCGGCCAUCUGGACGGUGACUGACGCUGAGACGCGAAAGCGUGGGGAGCAAACA